rnacentral:rRNA from 1 species
UACGAAGGGUGCAAGCGUUAAUCGGAAUUACUGGGCGUAAAGGGUGCGUAGGCGGUUCGUUAAGUCUGUCGUGAAAUCCCCGGGCUCAACCUGGGAAUGGCGAUGGAUACUGGCGAGCUAGAGUGUGUCAGAGGAUGGUGGAAUUCCCGGUGUAGCGGUGAAAUGCGUAGAGAUCGGGAGGAACACCUGUGGCGAAGGCGGCCCCCUGGGCCGGCCCUGACACUGAGACGCGAAGGCGUGGGGAGCGAACGGG